AGAGUUUGAUCAUGGCUCAGGACGAACGCUGGCGGCGUGCUUAACACAUGCAAGUCGAACGGAAAGGCCCUUCGGGGUACUCGAGUGGCGAACGGGUGAGUAACACGUGGGUGAUCUGCCCUGCACUUUGGGAUAAGCCUGGGAAACUGGGUCUAAUACCGAAUAUGACCAUGCGCCUCCUGGUGUGUGGUGGAAAGCUUUUGCGGUGUGGGAUGGGCCCGCGGCCUAUCAGCUUGUUGGUGGGGUAAUGGCCUACCAAGGCGACGACGGGUAGCCGGCCUGAGAGGGUGACCGGCCACACUGGGACUGAGAUACGGCCCAGACUCCUACGGGAGGCAGCAGUGGGGAAUAUUGCACAAUGGGCGCAAGCCUGAUGCAGCGACGCCGCGUGAGGGAUGACGGCCUUCGGGUUGUAAACCUCUUUCAGCACAGACGAAGCGCAAGUGACGGUAUGUGCAGAAGAAGGACCGGCCAACUACGUGCCAGCAGCCGCGGUAAUACGUAGGGUCCGAGCGUUGUCCGGAAUUACUGGGCGUAAAGAGCUCGUAGGUGGUUUGUCGCGUUGUUCGUGAAAACUCACAGCUUAACUGUGGGCGUGCGGGCGAUACGGGCAGACUUGAGUACUGCAGGGGAGACUGGAAUUCCUGGUGUAGCGGUGGAAUGCGCAGAUAUCAGGAGGAACACCGGUGGCGAAGGCGGGUCUCUGGGCAGUAACUGACGCUGAGGAGCGAAAGCGUGGGGAGCGAACAGGAUUAGAUACCCUGGUAGUCC
rnacentral:rRNA from 1 species